AAACCCUGUAAAACAAAAGACAUAAAUUCUUCAACGAAUUCUACUAUGGUAUCCAAUAUUACAAGGGAAAACGAACAGAAGACAACCCAAUAUCCCAGCUUGGUCGAUCUUGUUGUUGUAUCGCAUCCUUGCUCCACUCGGACAAGUUCUACGGCAAUCUUUUAUUACGAUGGUGCACGUAUUUCCUCGGAGCACAAACACGUAGACAACGCACGGUUCAUAGAAUUACCAAAUAAUGAGUAUUGUUUAUUUUUUCUAAGUGUUAUUUGAUUUAAAACAAAAUGUUUGAUCACAGAAAACGAUAGUUUGACUUUGCCUGCUCCCUAUAAUCCGUUUGUCGGUCCAAAAACAUCUAAAGAACUCAAUAUUAAUUCGACGUUUUUAACAAACGACACAAGUUUAGAAGCAGCUACCAAUAAUAAUACCUCAAAAUAUGAACACCAGAUAGUCGUCAAUAAUCCUACUGGCAAGUAUUAACAAGUGUCGCUCAAAUACGUUUUAUUUAUUUUUGUUUCUAUUUUCAGCACACAAAAAAAGACAAAUUUCUACUCCUCUUGCGUACAAGGAACUUGAGGACUUACACGUAAUGUUUGACGAGUUUUGUGUCUCAUUAACUGCUCAGAUUAAUGAAAAAAAAAAACGAUGAAAUCAAAGAAAAUUUCAAGGUGAUCAAUAACCGCCUGGACCAAAUUGACACCAAAAUGGAUAUCGUUUUAAAGAAUACAACACGUUCUAGAUUCAUAUCUGUCGCUGACGACAAUUUAGGCUUAAAAAACAAAGCGUUGCUAGGUCAAUAAAUGCUGACUAGCUAUGUUAUGCAACGAGCCAGCGAUGCGCGCUGGUUUAACGAUUAAAUGGAAAAAUAGGCUAAGAAGAAUAGAUUAAGAAGAAUAUGCUGAUCGACGACGGUCAGCAUUUUUAGAGUAUAAAAUCAAUUGAAUAAAUUAAUGAAGCCAUUACUUGCCAAGAACCAGUUGGUGCGUUCAUUAUUGUGCUUAAGUCGGCGUGUACUGUGCCUGUCUUAAGCUGCUGCUCCGAAAGAC